rnacentral:rRNA from 1 species
AAGAUUAUUGACGGGGGGGCGCACAAGCAGCGGAGCAUGUGGUUUAAUUCGAAGCAACGCGAAGAACCUUACCUAGACUCGACAUCUCCUGAAUUACCCUUAACCGGGGAAGCCCUUCGGGGCAGGAAGACAGGUGGUGCAUGGUUGUCGUCAGCUCGUGUCGUGGGAUGUUGGGUUAAGUCCCGCAACGAGCGCAACCCUUAUUUUUAGUUGCUACCAUUCAGUUGAGCACUCUAAAGAGACUGCCCGGGUUAACCGGGAGGAAGGUGGGGAUGACGUCAAAUCAUCAUGCCCCUUAUGUCUAGGGCUACACACGUGCUACAAUGGUGAGAACAAAGAGACGCGAGACCGCGAGGUGGAGCAAAUCUCAUAAAACUCAUCCCAGUUCGGAUUGCAGGCUGAAACUCGCCUGCAUGAAGCCGGAGUUGCUAGUAAUCGCGAAUCAGCAUGUCGCGGUGAAUACGUUCCCGCCUCUUGCACACCCCGCCCGAAUCUGACCCCAGACC